AUCCCGAGUUAAGUUUGAAGACGUUGGUUUGGCGGUAUCGGUUGUUGUUGCAAUAAUGUCUUCAGUUCAGCAUCUGAGAGAGUUUAUCAAGGAGAAAUUAAAUGCUGCUACAGAAGAAAUCUUCUCAGAGUUUGAAAAAACGAUCGUCCGGUAUGAGGAGGAGAUCCGUCAGCUAAUACCGCUGGAUAUCAGACCCGGGAUAAAGUCACACAAUACAGGUCUGGAUGAUCAGCAGGUCAGUGACCAGGAAAGGAGCUCCAGUCUGGACCAGCAGAACACAGAGCCUUCAAAGAUUAAAGAGGUACAGGAGGAAAUCUCCAUCAUUGGGGAAGGAGAGCAGCUUGAACUGAAGCAGGAAGCUGAAAACAUUUAUGUCUGGACCGGAGAACAGCUGGUUUUGUUGUUGAAUCCUGGAGUAAAGCUGACCAUAAUAGGUCUGGAUGAUCAGCAGGUCAGUGACCAGGAAAGGAGCUCCAAUCUGGACCAGCAGAACACAGAGCCUUCAGAGAUUAAAGAGGUACAGGAGGAAAUCAUCAUUGGGGAAGGAGAGCAGCUUGAACUGAAGCAGAAAGCUGAAAGCAUUUAUGUCUGGACCGGAGAACGGCUGGAUUUGUGCAAUCCUGGAGUAAAGCGGACCAGAAUAGCUUUUUCCACAGAAGAGGGACCUGAAAGCUGAAGGCUCUACCUCCCAUUCUCCCCAACUUUAAGGCAAUGAAUGGUUAAUCUAAACAAUAAAUAAAUCCUGAAAUUUAAGAUUUCCACAACAUGACUGUAAGGACGAGGAUGGGCUCACAAAUCAGCAGGUCUGUAACCAGUAGAAGAACUCCAGUCUACACCAGGAGGAUCCUUCACAGAUUAAAGAGGAACAAGAGGAACUCUGUACCAGUGAAGUGGAAAAACGGUUGUUCUAAAGCAGGAGACUGAAACUUUUCCUGCUCAUGAAGAAAAUGAUCACAGUGAACCAGAACCAAGCAGUGACCAGCUCCAGUCUCACAAAUCUCCUGACACAGAUCAGGAUGAAGUCAAGGGUGGUAACUCGCACAGAAAUGAGUGGGAGCAAAUCGUAUCAGGCCCAAGUGUUCAAAAUUCCGACACCGCACAUUUAUGUAGCACCUGUGGGAAAAGGGUUUUUUUUGUUUUUUUUUUUUUGGAAGUCAAGCUUGACUAGACACAUGCAAAUUCACACCGGUGAGAAACCACAUUGCUGUAGCACCUGUGGAAAAAGAUUUAGCCGGAAGUCACACAUGAAUAGACACAUGCGAAUUCACACAGGUGAGAAGCCACAUUGUUGUAGCACCUGUGGAAAAAGAUUUAGCCGGAAGUCACACAUGAAUAGACACAUGCAAAUUCACACAGGUGAGAAGCCACAUUCUUGUAGCACCUCUAGAAAAGAUUCAGGUAGAGGGAAACUUGAAAUAACACAUGCCAGUUCACAAAAGUGAAAAACCACACUGUUGCAGCACCUGUGUGAAACAUUUUAGUUCUCCAGUACAGUUGAAAAUGCAAUUAGGAAAAGAUGCUACAUGCUAAGUUUCAUUCUUAGAAAAUGGUGGUGGUAGAACACAUAAACAGUGUUUGGGUCAUUGAAAACUGAAAAUUUAAAAAGGUUUUCGGAAGCUCAGUUUCUGUUUUGACACAUGGACAAGACAAAAAGUUUGUCUUGCACCAUAAAAUGUGUGCACCUAUAUCACCUUUUUCUGACAUCAUUGUUUUAUAGUUUAUAGGCUUUGUCUUUGCUGAAGUUUCUUCAUUUUCUUUGGCAUGGCCUCGACAGUGCUUGAGAUAUUUUUAGGGUCUUGAUGUAAAAAUAACUUUCUCCAAAACGCACUUGGAAAUAUCAGUUUUAAAAAAAACUACCCAUGUAGUAGUUGGAUUGACAUUAUGGCAAGUGCUUUUCAGAUGGAAAGGGAAUAUUUUAGGGAAUGACAAUGUUGACAAGUUGAUCUAUGUUCUCAAAUUGUCUGUGAUCCAUAUUUUAAGCUCAUUUAUUAUUUAUAUUUAUAACAUAACUUAUGGACUAAUGUGUCAUUUUAACAGUGUUGUUCCAUUUUGACAUUAAACAAAUCCAGUUUUAAGAUUGUAGAUAAUUCAGUUUAAAGAUAAAAUAUUGAUGAUUAUAUAAUAAAGGAGGAGGAGCUGGUGACUCAUCUCCCAUAAAGGAGCUCAGAAGUUCCCCGGGAGUCUUCAUCUUUAUUUAUCUUUGUUUGCUUUUGGCCUCCAUGUGCUUAUGUCAAACAUACUAGAGAGCUUUUUUUAUUUAAUUUUAUCUUGUAUGUUCAAUAAAAACUGUUGGCAUCAAA